rnacentral:rRNA from 1 species
UACGAGGGGGGGCAAGCGUUGUUCGGAAUUAUUGGGCGUAAAGGGCGCGUAGGCGGUGCGGUAAGUCACCUGUGAAAUCUCCUGGCUCAACUGGGAGCUUGCAGGCGAAACUGCCGUGCGUGGAGUGUGGGAGAGGUGCGUGGAAUUCCUGGUGUAGCGGUGAAAUGCGUAGAUAUCAGGAGGAACACCUGUGGCGAAAGCGGCGCACUGGACCACAACUGACGCUGAGGCGCGAAAGCUAGGGGAGCAAACAGG